UGAGGAAUAUUGGUCAAUGGGCGCAAGCCUGAACCAGCCAUCCCGCGUGCAGGAAGACGGCCCUAUGGGUUGUAAACUGCUUUUCCAGGGGGAGAAACUUGCGCACGUGUUGCGCAAUUGACGGUACCCUGGGAAUAAGCAUCGGCUAACUCCGUGCCAGCAGCCGCGGUAAUACGGAGGAUGCGAGCGUUAUCCGGAUUCAUUGGGUUUAAAGGGUGCGUAGGCGGACUAUUAAGUCAGUGGUGAAAUCCUGCAGCUUAACUGCAGAACUGCCAUUGAUACUGAUAGCCUUGAGUUUGGUUAAGGUAGGCGGAAUGUGUAAUGUAGCGGUGAAAUGCUUAGAUAUUACACAGAACACCAAUUGCGUAGGCAGCUUACUGAACCAUAACUGACGCUGAGGCACGAAAGCGUGGGGAGCGAACA
rnacentral:rRNA from 1 species